rnacentral:lncRNA from 1 species
CAUAGAUCUUUAGUUUUUGAUUGUCGAGAAAUAGAGAUUUUAUAGAUCAAAACUAAUGCAUACUCAAAUCAUGGGCUAUCCUGCAAAUCAUAGGUGAUUGUGAUAUCAGGAGUUGGCUGGCCCUCUCCUGUUCAAGGUCAAACCGGAGAGAAUCUGAACUCAAAUAUUAAUCCAAGAGAAAUUCUUUGUGCAUCACGGGC